rnacentral:tRNA from 1 species
ACGUCGGUAAUUUAGUGGAAAAAUGUUUACCUUCUAAGUAAAGUAUCGUAGGUUCAAAUCCUUCUCGACGUG